CAGAAGCAUCGUUAUUUUCAUCUGUUUUGGUGCCUUCAGAAAACUUCUGCACCAUGAACAGCGCUAUAGAAGAACAUCAGCAUUUAAGAGCAUGUGGUCCCUGUGCUCAGUUAGGAAGCAAGGUACAGGAAACAGCAAUGGCGUGAGAAAAUAUCUUGUUGACUGCUAACAAUGUGAUGGGGGUCUGCCUUGAAGAGGUGAAGUAAUUUAUACCCAUCUACCUGUGUCAUUCCAUAGCACCAGCUAUCUCUAUUUCUCUGUGAUCAAUAAAGUUUUUUGGUAGACUGA